UUGUUCUCACUUAGGCAGCAAAUAUACUAAAAUUGGAACGAUACAGAGAUUAGCAUGGCCCCUGUGCAUGGAUGACAUGCAAAUUCAUGAAGCAUUCCAUAUUUUU
ensembl:snRNA U6 U6 spliceosomal RNA